AUAUCAAUAAGCGGAGGAAAAGAAACCAACAGGGAUUACCCUAGUAACGGCGAGUGAAGCGGUAACAGCUCAAAUUUGAAAUCUGACCUUCACGGGUCCGAGUUGUAAUUUGUAGAGGAUGUUUCGGAUAAGGCUUUGGUUUAAGUUUCUUGGAACAGAACGUCAUAGAGGGUGAGGGUCCCGUCUAGAGCCGAUAGCCGCGUCCAUGUGAAACUCCUUCGACGAGUCGAGUUGUUUGGGAAUGCAGCUCAAAAUGGGUGGUAAAUUUCAUCUAAAGCUAAAUAUUGGCCAGAGACCGAUAGCGCACAAGUAGAGUGAUCGAAAGAUGAAAAGCACUUUGAAAAGAGAGUUAAACAGUAUGUGAAAUUGUUGAAAGGGAAGCGCUUGCAACCAGACUUGUGUUUAAUGGUUCCCCCGGUCUUCUGACCGGGCUACUCCAUUAUAUCCAGGCCAGCAUCGGUUCGGGUGGUCGGUAAAAGGCCCUGGGAAUGUAUCUACCUUCGGGUCGACUUAUAGCCUAGGGUGUAAUGCGGCCUACCUGGACCGAGGAACGCGCUUUUGCUCGGAUGCUGGCGUAAUGGUUGUAAGCGG
rnacentral:rRNA from 1 species